rnacentral:rRNA from 1 species
UACGUAGGGUGCGAGCGUUCAUCGGAAUUACUGGGCGUAAAGCGUGCGCAGGCGGUGAUGUAAGACAGAUGUGAAGUCCCCGGGCUCAACCUGGGAACUGCAUUUGUGACUGCAUCGCUGGAGUGCGGCAGAGGGGGAUGGAAUUCCGCGUGUAGCAGUGAAAUGCGUAGAUAUGCGGAGGAACACCGAUGGCGAAGGCAAUCCCCUGGGCCUGCACUGACGCUCAUGCACGAAAGCGUGGGGAGCAAACAGG